AUUGAACGCUGGCGGCAUGCUUUAUACAUGCAAGUCGAACGGUAACGCGGGCUUCGGCCUGGCGACGAGUGGCGAACGGGUGAGUAAUACAUCGGAACGUGCCCAGUAGUGGGGGAUAGCUCGGCGAAAGCCGAAUUAAUACCGCAUACGCCCUGAGGGGGAAAGCGGGGGAUCGAAAGACCUCGCGCUAUUGGAGCGGCCGAUGCCAGAUUAGCUUGUUGGUGAGGUAAAGGCUUACCAAGGCUACGAUCUGUAGCUGGUCUGAGAGGACGACCAGCCACACUGGGACUGAGACACGGCCCAGACUCCUACGGGAGGCAGCAGUAGGGAAUUUUGGACAAUGGGCGAAAGCCUGAUCCAGCAAUGCCGCGUGUGUGAUGAAGGCCCUCGGGUUGUAAAGCACUUUUGGUAGGAACGAAAAGGUCCGCGCUAAUACCGUGGACCGAUGACGGUACCUGCAGAAUAAGCACCGGCUAACUACGUGCCAGCAGCCGCGGUAA
rnacentral:rRNA from 1 species